CUGGCAGCCUGAUGCAGCGACGCCGCGUGAGGGAUGACGGCCUUCGGGUUGUAAACCUCUUUCAGUAGGGAAGAAGCGAAAGUGACGGUACCUGCAGAAGAAGCACCGGCUAACUACGUGCCAGCAGCCGCGGUAAUACGUAGGGUGCGAGCGUUAUCCGGAAUUAUUGGGCGUAAAGAGCUCGUAGGCGGUUUGUCGCGUCUGUCGUGAAAGUCCGGGGCUUAACCCCGGAUCUGCGGUGGGUACGGGCAGACUAGAGUGCAGUAGGGGAGACUGGAAUUCCUGGUGUAGCGGUGGAAUGCGCAGAUAUCAGGAGGAACACCGAUGGCGAAGGCAGGUCUCUGGGCUGUAACUGACGCUGAGGAGCGAAAGCAUGGGGAGCGAACAGGAUUAGAUACCCUGGUAGUCCAUGCCGUAAACGUUGGGCACUAGGUGUGGGGACCAUUCCACGGUUUCCGCGCCGCAGCUAACGCAUUAAGUGCCCCGCCUGGGGAGUACGGCCGCAAGGCUAAAACUCAAAGGAAUUGACGGGGGCCCGCACAAGCGGCGGAGCAUGCGGAUUAAUUCGAUGCAACGCGAAGAACCUUACCAAGGCUUGACAUGUUCUCGAUCGCCGUAGAGAUACGGUUUCCCCUUUGGGGCGGGAUCACAGGUGGUGCAUGGUUGUCGUCAGCUCGUGUCGUGAGAUGUUGGGUUAAGUCCCGCAACGAGCGCAACCCUCGUUCCAUGUUGCCAGCACGUAAUGGUGGGGACUCAUGGGAGACUGCCGGGGUCAACUCGGAGGAAGGUGGGGACGACGUCAAAUCAUCAUGCCCCUUAUGUCUUGGGCUUCACGCAUGCUACAAUGGCCGGUACAAUGGGUUGCGAUACUGUGAGGUGGAGCUAAUCCCAAAAAGCCGGUCUCAGUUCGGAUUGGGGUCUGCAACUCGACCCCAUGAAGUCGGAGUCGCUAGUAAUCGCAGAUCAGCAACGCUGCGGUGAAUACGUUCCCGGGCCUUGUACACACCGCCCGUCAAGUCACGAAAGUCGGUAACACCCGAAGCCGGUGGCCUACCCC
rnacentral:rRNA from 1 species